UCUCUCAAUAAAUUGACAGGUGUUAUUUCAGAAGCACAUUUUCAUAGUCUGGGGAAACUGGAGAACAUUAUUUUAUCAGAAAAUUCUUUCAUUUUGAAUGUAAGCUCCAAUUGGGUCCCUCCUUUCCAAGUCAUUGCCUUGAAGAUGGGUUCAUGCCAUCUAGGUAUGUCCUUCCCUUCUUGGCUUAAAUCUCAAAAACAGGUCCACGUUUUAGAUUUCUCAGGGGCUGGUAUUUCCGGUUCUAUCCCAAAUUGGUUCUGGGACAUGACUAGCAGUCUAGCCAUUUUGAAUGUUUCUUUCAAUAGUUUAGAGGGUCAUAUACCAAAUCCAUUCAAUAUAAUUUCCUAUGCAAGUGUUGAUUUGAGCUCCAACCAAUUCAAAGGACCCAUUCCUCUUCCAAAUGUCAUCUCACUAGAUCUUUCUAAUAACCAGUUUUCCGGUAGUAUACCAGAAAAUAUUGGUCAAGUCAUGUCAGUGUUG
rnacentral:misc_RNA from 1 species